AUUUAGGGUUUCAACUAUGAACUAAAAUGCGGUAGUGUAUUAGGCGGGACUAAAAAGCUGUUGGGCGGCAGAAUGAAAAACACAAAUUAAGUCUUAAAACAAUUUUUUUUGUCUCUCUCUCUCUUGCGUUCUCUUCACUCCCAUCUCACUCACAACCGCACUGUCCCGCUCACCAUCUCUAUCUCAUCUCAAUCUUUUCUCUCAUUCCAUUUCAUUCUUCUCUCUGCAGGUCCACGGUCGCCGGUGGGGGUUGCGAGCGGCUAGCGCUGGCUCAUUGGGGCUGGACGACGCAGAGGCCUGGGACUACUCGACAACGCUUGCAGGUAAAAUCUCACUCUCCACUGUCUCUUCAAAUCCCAGGCGCUGUGUGCUACUGCAUAUUGUUUGGAAAUGAAUAUUGAAGGGUGGGAGGGUUUCUUCAUAGAGUAGUGCUCCUUCUUGCAGAUAAAGAUGAGGAAUUGAGAGAGGCACUUGCAUAAUCAAAUCCCCAAGGAACUAAGAAUGCCUUAAAGAGUAGGUAGUUGAAGAGUAAUGGGAGUUGUCAAUGGCAUAAUAAAGAAUGGUGUUGGCAUCUGUGGUGUCUAUGGGAGUGCCUAUGGUGGUCAUGGAGUUCAUUGCUCAGCUUCUUAUGGUUGGAGUUUGAGUAUUUAUUAUGGUCAUCAAUCUUUUAAACUAAGUUUUAUAUAUUUGUACGUAUGUAAAUUUGUAUAGGUAUGUGUGUUCUAUAUUUGUACAAUGUAUUAUGUACCUAAAUUUGUAUAGGUAUGAGUGUUCUAGUUAUAUAUAUUUUUUAAAGUUUAGACGAUUA